AUUGUAAACAAUGACCAGGAUUCAUUCUCAAAAUUUUACAAUUAUUUGGUGAAUAUUUUCAAUAGUUCAUUUCCGAUUCAAAAAUUGAAAAUCAAGCACAGAAAACAAUGGAUUACUCAUGGCAUGAAAAUUUCAGCAAAUAAUAUGCGAUCGCUGCACUAUAUUCGGAAGUUUAAUGGUAAUAUCUCAUUUCAAAGAUAUUUCAGCAGAUACCGCAGCAUAUAUAGGCAGGUUAUCAGACAAGCAGAAGAAAGUUACUAUAAAAAUAGAUUCAAGCAAGCUGAAAACAAAUCGAAAGAAACUUGGCAAGUAAUUGAUGACCUAAGAGAAAAUCGACUACUCAGAACGACCCUAUGUAACACUUAAAAAACCUCUUCAUUUCUGAAACUUGCUCUCUUUAUGACACUGACAUUUAUGAGCUGGAACAGUGUUUCCAUUGGAAAACAGUCUUCAUCUGGUUACGACGACCCAGAUAACACAUUACAACUNUA